rnacentral:rRNA from 1 species
AUUGAACGCUGGCGGCAGGCCUAACACAUGCAAGUCGAGCGGAUGAAGGGAGCUUGCUCCUGGAUUCAGCGGCGGACGGGUGAGUAAUGCCUAGGAAUCUGCCUGGUAGUGGGGGAUAACGUCCGGAAACGGGCGCUAAUACUGCAUACGUCCUGAGGGAGAAAGUGGGGGAUCUUCGGACCUCACGCUAUCAGAUGAGCCUAGGUCGGAUUAGCUAGUUGGUGGGGUAAAGGCCUACCAAGGCGACGAUCCGUAACUGGUCUGAGAGGAUGAUCAGUCACACUGGAACUGAGACACGGUCCAGACUCCUACGGGAGGCAGCAGUGAGGAAUAUUGGACAAUGGGCGAAAGCCUGAUCCAGCCAUGCCGCGUGUGUGAAGAAGGUCUUCGGAUUGUAAAGCACUUUAAGUUGGGAGGAAGGGCAGUAAGUUAAUACCUUGCUGUUUUGACGUUACCAACAGAAUAAGCACCGGCUAACUUCGUG